UGAAUACGAGAUGCUACGGCGUCGAAGCAGUCUAUGUCAUACUUCCAAGAAAAGCUCGCACUGUCAUAAACAAAUAAUGCCUGUACCAUAACCGACACAGGUGGGUAGGUAGAGUAUACUAAGGGGCGCGAGAUAACUCUCUCUAAGGAACUCGGCAAAAUGACUCCGUAACUUCGGGAGAAGGAGUGCCUUAUUUAUAAGGUUGCAAUAACAAGAUCCAAGCAACUGUUUAUCAAAAACACAGGUCUCCGCUAAGUCGUAAGACGAUGUAUGGGGGCUGACGCCUGCCCAGUGCCAGAAGGUUAAAGAAGUUGGUUAGCAUUCGCGAAGCUGAUAACUGAAGCCCUGGUGAACGGCGGCCGUAACUAUAACGGUCCUAAGGUAGCGAAAUUCCUUGUCGGGUAAGUUCCGACCCGCACGAAAGGCGUAAUGAUUUGGAUACUGUCUCGGAGAGGGGCUCGGUGAAAUAGACUUGUCUGUGAAGAUGCGGACUACCUGCACCAGGACAGAAAGACCCUAUGAAGCUUUACUGUAACUUGAGAUUGAAAUUGGACUUUACUUGCGCAGUAUAGGUGGGAGGCGUUGAUAAUAUUCUUGCGGGAUUAUUUGAGCCAUCAGUGAGAUACCACUCUUGUAAUGUUAGAUUUCUAACUUUGUAUCAUUAUCUGGUCAAAGGACAGUUUCAGGCGGGCAGUUUGACUGGGGCGGUCGCCUCCUAAACGGUAACGGAGGCGCACAAAGGUUUCCUCUGAACGGGUAGAGGUCGUAUCUAGAGUGUAAAGGCAUAAGGAAGCUUGACUGUGAGACCUACAAGUCGAGCAGGGACGAAAGUCGGUCUUAGUGAUCUGACGGUGCUGAGUGGAAAGGCCGUCACUCAACGGAUAAAAGUUACUCUAGGAUAACAGGCUGAUCUCCCCCAAGAGUUCACAUCGACGGGGAGGUUUGGCACCUCGAUGUCGGCUCAUCGCAUCCUGGGGCGGUAGUACGUCCCAAGGGUUGGGCUGUUCGCCCAUGAAAGCGGUACGCGAGCUGGGUUCAGAACGUCGUGAGACAGUUCGGUCCAUAUCCGGUGUAGGCGUUAGAAUAUUGAGAGGAGCCUUCUUUAGUACGAGAGGACCGAGAAGGACAUACCUCUGGUGUACCAGUUAUCGUGCCAACGGUAAACGCUGGGUAGCUAUGUAUGGAGUGGAUAACCGCUGAAAGCAUCUAAGUGGGAAGCCCACCUCAAGAUAAGUAUUCC
rnacentral:rRNA from 1 species